rnacentral:rRNA from 1 species
GACGAACGCUGGCGGCGUGCUUAACACAUGCAAGUCGAACGGAAAGGCCCUGCUUUUGUGGGGUGCUCGAGUGGCGAACGGGUGAGUAACACGUGAGUAACCUGCCCUUGACUUUGGGAUAACUUCAGGAAACUGGGGCUAAUACCGGAUAGGAGCUCCUGCUGCAUGGUGGGGGUUGGAAAGUUUCGGCGGUUGGGGAUGGACUCGCGGCUUAUCAGCUUGUUGGUGGGGUAGUGGCUUACCAAGGCUUUGACGGGUAGCCGGCCUGAGAGGGUGACCGGCCACAUUGGGACUGAGAUACGGCCCAGACUCCUACGGGAGGCAGCAGUGGGGAAUAGUGCACAAUGGGCGGAAGCCUGAUGCAGCAAAGCCGCGUGCGGGAUGACGGCAUUCGGGUUGUAAACCGCUUUCGCCUGUGACGAAGCGUGAGUGACGGUAAUGGGUAAAGAAGCACCGGCUAACUACGUG